UUUCAAAUAUGUAUAAUAAAAUAUCAGAGUAUUAUAAUUAAUAUCAGAGAAUAAUAUAAGAAACCUCAUCUGAUAUUCCGGCCACAUGAAAUUAAUAUAUUAUAGUCCCAAUGGAAAUUUGUGGUUUAACUGACUUAAAACUUAAAGUAUAUUAAUAUCAGAUCCCAUUCAAUUGUUUUCUCAAUCAAAUCACUUACUUUAUUAAGGUUAAAUCCUAUGCUAGUUAUUAAGCUGUGUAAAUAUCUGAUACGAUUCAACUUUUCAUACUAAGCUGGAUGACUAAAUCGUAUAUAAAUCUGGUGAAAGCGUUUUUCGAAACACUUGCAAACUUGGUUUUUACUUUUUGCUUUUUGCUUUCUGUUUUUUUUUUUUUUUGCAUUUAUAACCGGGAAAACUAUAAAAUGGCAGCAGACGCUGCUGAAGCACAGCCAAAAUCUGUCAAACUCAAAUCACAAAUGCAGACAAAACUGACAAAUGCGAAUGGGCAGACAGUCAUACGACAAAUUGACAGACAUCCAGACAGACAUCCAGACAGAAUUUCAGACAGACAGCUAGUUGUCAAACAGUGCAACAACAUUUGCUUUUCAUUGCCAAAAACUGUUGAAGGUUUGAAGAUUGCAGUUGCCCUUAGGCCUGACAUAUAGUAGCAUCUCGAAGAUUGGGCUCUCUUCCGUUCUUGAAGGCAAACUCAUUAACAAGUUGGCUCACAAAAUGCCAAAAACUCGACGGUGGCCCAAGCUGUCGAUGACUGGCGACAAGCUGCCGCAUCAGCAUCAGCAACAGCAACAGCAGCCGCAACUAAUGGCUGGCUGCCAGUUUAAUCGUUGCCUUUUGGUAGGAAGAGCUAACCAACUGCUGCAGCGAAUGCUCGCACUCCGCAGCAGCGAGCCCUGUGUAGAGUUUUAUUAAAAGCCAAACAGUCUGCGACAUAUGUAUGUGUACCAGGCAGCUGAGACUGUCAAGACGGAAGGCGCAGACACGGGCUGAUAAAUACAGACAAAUUACAGUCGUAGAGGCCAAGUACAGUGAUGUCCAUCAAUGAAGGCCAAACUAUCACUAUUAUAUAUAGUCAAAGCCAGGACAACUGUCAAAGCGGAAAGCGCAGCCACUGGCCAUCAGUGAAAGCCAAAUAACGAGCAUUUAAUAUAAUCAAAACAAAGAACUAAGCUUUCUAAUGCAAAAGACAUUUACUAUCAAAUAAACUUAAUAAAAUGUAAUCAAAAAAAGUUAAGCUUUUCAAAUUAUCAACAGUUCAAUGAUAAAGAAAAAUUCUAUGUAAA